AACGAACGCUGGCGGCAUGCCUAACACAUGCAAGUCGAGCGAACAGAUGAAGUGCUUGCACUUCUGACGUUAGCGGCGAACGGGUGAGUAACACGUAAGGAAUCUACCUAUAAGCGGGGGAUAACAUUCGGAAACGGGUGCUAAUACCGCAUAAUAUCUUCUUCCGCAUGGAAGAAGAUUGAAAGACGGCUCUGCUGUCACUUAUAGAUGACCUUGCGGUGCAUUAGUUAGUUGGUGGGGUAAUGGCCUACCAAGACGAUGAUGCAUAGCCGGCCUGAGAGGGUGAUCGGCCACAUUGGGACUGAGACACGGCCCAAACUCCUACGGGAGGCAGCAGUAGGGAAUCUUCCGCAAUGGGCGAAAGCCUGACGGAGCAAUGCCGCGUGAGUGAAGAAGGCCUUCGGGUCGUAAAACUCUGUUAUAAGAGAAGAACAAAUUGUAGAGUAACUGCUACAGUCUUGACGGUAUCUUAUCAGAAAGCCACGGCUAACUACGUGCCAGCAGCCGCAGUAA
rnacentral:rRNA from 1 species